GAAGGUAUAGCUCAGUGGUAGAGUGCGUGCUUAGCAUGCACAAGAUCCUCAGUUCAGUCUGCAGUACCUCCA
rnacentral:tRNA from 1 species